rnacentral:rRNA from 1 species
AACGAACGCUGGCGGCAGGCCUAACACAUGCAAGUCGAGCGAGGACUUCGGUCCUAGCGGCGGACGGGUGAGUAACGCGUGGGAACGUGCCCUUUGCUACGGAAUAGCCCCGGGAAACUGGGAGUAAUACCGUAUGUGCCCGAGAGGGGAAAGAUUUAUCGGCAAAGGAUCGGCCCGCGUUGGAUUAGGUAGUUGGUGGGGUAAUGGCCUACCAAGCCGACGAUCCAUAGCUGGUUUGAGAGGAUGAUCAGCCGCACUGGGACUGAGACACGGCCCAGACUCCUACGGGAGGCAGCAGUGGGGAAUCUUAGACAAUGGGGGAAACCCUGAUCUAGCCAUGCCGCGUGAGCGAUGAAGGCCUUAGGGUUGUAAAGCUCUUUCAGUGGGGAAGAUAAUGACGGUACUCACAGAAGAAGCCCCGGCUAACUCCGUGCCAGCCGCCGCAGUAAUAC